rnacentral:rRNA from 1 species
UGCAGUCGAACGGCAGCGCGGGGCAACCUGGCGGCGAGUGGCGAACGGGUGAGUAAUAUAUCAGGAACGUACCCAGAAGUGGGGGAUAACGUAGCGAAAGUUACGCUAAUACCGCAUACGAUCUACGGAUGAAAGUGGGGGACCUUCGGGCCUCAUGCUUGUGGAGCGGCCGAUAUCUGAUUAGCUAGUUGGUAGGGUAAAGGCCUACCAAGGCAACGAUCAGUAGCUGGUCUGAGAGGACGACCAGCCACACUGGGACUGAGACACGGCCCAGACUCCUACGGGAGGCAGCAGUGGGGAAUUUUGGACAAUGGGCGCAAGCCUGAUCCAGCAAUGCCGCGUGAGUGAAGAAGGCCUUCGGGUUGUAAAGCUCUUUUGUCAGGGAAGAAACGGCUGAGGUUAAUACCUUCGGCUAAUGACGGUACCUGAAGAAUAAGCACCGGCUAACUACGUGCCAGCAGCCGCGGUAAUACGUAGGGUGCAAGCGUUAAUCGGAAUUACUGGGCGUAAAGCGUGCGCAGGCGGUUUUGUAAGUCUGUCGUGAAAGCCCCGGGCUCAACCUGGGAAUUGCGAUGGAGACUGCAAGGCUUGAAUCUGGCAGAGGGGGGUAGAAUUCCACGUGUAGCAGUGAAAUGCGUAGAGAUGUGGAGGAACACCGAUGGCGAAGGCAGCCCCCUGGGUCAAGAUUGACGCUCAUGCACGAAAGCGUGGGGAGCAAACAGGAUUAGAUACCCUGGUAGUCCACGCCCUAAACGAUGUCUACUAGUUGUCGGGUUUUAAUUAACUUGGUAACGCAGCUAACGCGUGAAGUAGACCGCCUGGGGAGUACGGUCGCAAGAUUAAAACUCAAAGGAAUUGACGGGGACCCGCACAAGCGGUGGAUGAUGUGGAUUAAUUCGAUGCAACGCGAAAAACCUUACCUACCCUUG